rnacentral:lncRNA from 1 species
AUUACUCAUAAGUUCUACGUUGUCUAUUUUUUCUUUCCUCUCGCCGGUGAGAAGUCUCAAAUCUCUCUUUUUCUCUUAGUAGAUCUCUCUUAUUUUUACUCGAUCUCUUCUUUCUUUUUUUUUCUCUCCCUCUCGUUGGAUUUUUUCACAACCAUAUCUUUUUUCUUUUCACAUAUCAUUAUUCUCUCCUUCGUCAGGCAUCACCACCGAGUCUCACUACCGCGACCCACCAGGCCACCUCCACAACUAAAUCUCAAAACUAGCUAUCACAAUCAUCAUC